rnacentral:tRNA from 1 species
GAGGGUACAGCUCAGUGGUAGAGCACAUGCUUAGCACGCAUGAGGUCCUGCGUUCAGUCCUCAGUACCUCCA